GGGCCAUUAGCUCAGUUGGUAGAGCAGUUGACUUUUAAUCAAUUGGUCGAGGGUUCGAGUCCCCCAUGGCCCACCA
rnacentral:tRNA from 1 species